GACGAACGCUGGCGGCGUGCUUAACACAUGCAAGUCGAACGGAAAGGCCCUGCUUUUGUGGGGUGCUCGAGAGGCGAACGGGUGAGUAAAACGUGAGUAAACCGCCCUUGACUGUGGGAUAACUUCAGGAAACUGGGGCUAAUACCGGAUAGGAGCUCCUGCUGCACGGUGGGGGUUGGAAAGUGUCGGCGGUUGUGGAUGGACUAGAGGCUUAUCAGCUUGUUGGUGGGGUAGUGGCUUACCAAGGUUUUGACGGGUAGCCGGCCUUAGCGGGUGACCAGCCACAUUGGGACUGCGGUACGGACCAGUCGCCUACGUGAGGCAGCAGUGGGGAAUAUUGCACAAUGAGCGGAAGCCUGAUGCAGCAACGCCGCGUGCGGGAUGCCGUCCUUCGGGGUGUAAACCUCUUUCGCCGGUGACGAAGCGUGAGUGACGGUAAUUGGUAAAGAAGCACCGGCUAACUACGUG
rnacentral:rRNA from 1 species